rnacentral:lncRNA from 1 species
AUAAGGCAAGAACCUUCAGCUAAAUCAUGUCAGCAUUGGAACAUGAUCCUAAAACCCAGAGUCUUUAUGCAAUAUCAUGCGAUAUAUUUGUCUCUAUGAAGACCCCAAGUGCUACCCACGAGGGCAGAACAGAUCCAAGGAAGGGGAAUGUUCCACAGGAGGUAUCAGCCUUAUGAACUACAAUAUCAUCACAUUUAUAAAGAGAAACCAGGAAAUCAUGUCCAGGGACCAGAGUGCUCAUGUACAUGUGUUCCAGAAAUUCAAGUGUGAGGGGGGACCAUCUUUCCAAGGAUGGCCUCCAUUCAAGUCCUUCAUUCUUACCCCCAACAAAUCCACUGAGAAUAAUUCCAUCUGGAGAGAGAAAGAGAGCUAAGCACAGGAGUCCCUUUCUUCUUUCCAACCAACCAGGACCUCGAGGGAUGCCUGUUCUCUGCCAUCCCCCACCUGAGUUUGGGGACCUCAGACAGGGGUCUGAGCUG